AGGCCAUUGGUCGUUCGACGCUGCAUCCUUCGUCCGGCCGGAUCGGGGCUAAGACGGGAACGCGGUCAAAGGCCGCGGCUGCCCCCGCAACUGUAGACACCCCAAGGACGACACGGCCACUGCGCGCGACGCGGGAAGGCGUCGUCCGGCCAGCUUCGGGCUGGCAGGGUGCAAGCCAGGAGACCUGCCUCGAGACGUUUGCGACU
rfam:Pseudomonas monteilii strain TSDA-ARS-TSMARC-56711, complete genome.